rnacentral:lncRNA from 1 species
GGAUCUCGCAAAAGGGGAGGAAGGCCUUCACCGCUGAACCCGAGCUUUGCCAUUUCGAAGUGCUGAGUCACCUCGUCCUCUCAGGUGGUAAUUUAUUCUAGAACCGAUGUGCCAGCGUUUCCUUCUGUGUGCUUUGAGUAGGAGCAGGAACAACGGAUCUCUCCAAGCAUGGGCAGACGGAGAGCUGCAACCCUUGGACCAACCAACGCCUGCCAGUGGGCGCCUGCAUCCCACGCCUGCAUCCCGCGUGCAGGCUACUGGCAGGUGCUCUGUGUCUCACUCCAUCUUUACCUGCCCUGUAAAGGAGGAACUGUUGUUUUUAGUCUCCUGGAGCAGCCGCGCCUUCCCACAGCACUCAGACUUGAGGAAGCUUAAGAAGCUGAGACCAGAGAGGGCGAUGUCCACCUUGGUGACGAAGCACUCUAGAGGCUGCCGCCACACUUAAAAAGUGACCAGUCACCAACAACUCAUCUUAAGUACAGGAAGAAUGCCAGCAGCUGAAUGAUGUGGAAACUCAG